rnacentral:lncRNA from 1 species
UCAAACGCAAAAGAAAGAGUAGUAACAAGAACUAGGGGCAAAAGGUGCUCUGUUCAAAUACUCAAAAUACAGAAUUGUGACAAAGCACACCCAAUACCAUCCAACGAAAAGAAUGAAACGUUACCUAUUUGUUCACCAUUUAACAUGUUAGCAAACAGGAAAGCAAAAAAUAGGAUGGGGUUUAGAUGUAACAAUUUUGGACUUCACACAGCCUUGAUGAGAGACCAAAGCCUAAGAACGAACAUGCAAAGAGACCUGCAAGCAAGAACAGCGAUGAAUGCAGGGAAAGAUAAGGAAGCACCAAAAGCACCAACGAUGUGUUGGAGGCGACGGAUCUAAGCUUGGAUGUGAUGGGCGGCUUCAUGCAGCUUGACGGAGUGGCAAUGACAAAGGCGGAGGCGGAUACGAAGACGAUGUGCCAGAGACGGCGGAUCUGAGCUCGAGAUGCGACAGACAGGCUCCCAAGAGAUUU